rnacentral:rRNA from 1 species
AACGAACGCUGGCGGCAGGCUUAACACAUGCAAGUCGAGCGCCCCGCAAGGGGAGCGGCAGACGGGUGAGUAACGCGUGGGAAUCUACCCAUCUCUACGGAACAACUCCGGGAAACUGGAGCUAAUACCGUAUACGUCCGUAAGGAGAAAGAUUUAUCGGAGAUGGAUGAGCCCGCGUUGGAUUAGCUAGUUGGUGGGGUAAUGGCCUACCAAGGCGACGAUCCAUAGCUGGUCUGAGAGGAUGAUCAGCCACACUGGGACUGAGACACGGCCCAGACUCCUACGGGAGGCAGCAGUGGGGAAUAUUGGACAAUGGGCGCAAGCCUGAUCCAGCCAUGCCGCGUGAGUGAUGAAGGCCCUAGGGUUGUAAAGCUCUUUCACCGGUGAAGAUAAUGACGGUAACCGGAGAAGAAGCCCCGGCUAACUUCGUGCCAGCAGCCGCGGUAAUACGAAGGGGGCUAGCGUUGUUCGGAAUUACUGGGCGUAAAGCGCACGUAGGCGGAUAUUUAAGUCAGGGGUGAAAUCCCGAGGCUCAACCUCGGAACUGCCUUUGAUACUGGGUAUCUGGAGUCCGGAAGAGGUGAGUGGAAUUCCGAGUGU